ensembl:lincRNA
CAGUCAGGCAAUUCCAGUUCUUUGCUUGCACUGACAGUUCGUAACAUGAGGAAGUGUAUGGGUGCACGGAUCGGACAUUGGGUUGCCGUUGCUGAUAAGUCUGGGGCGUAGGUCUUUCCUUCAGGGGCGCUGACCGCCUGUGAGAGGCUCAGCCUCUCAGCUGUUGGACUCUGAAGGAGCAUAUUUGACGGCACCAUGUCUGUCUCUGUUAGUCUGCAUCAUCUGUGUGAGGACCUGCUACCUUGUCCAGUGCUCUCGGAAGCCUGCUCUUUCCAGUCAGCUACACGCUUGAGUGGAGACUGUAUGGUCUGCUCACACUCAAGACACGGUGCUGACUUCCCCCAGCAUGGGCAAGGGGUGGUGUGGAAGUGGCCCUGAGGGGGCUGUCUGGAUCCCAGGUCCUUUGCUUUCUGAGGGACGGUCAACUUGGAAUUAGAGCAGGAAUAAGGCAGUGGGAAAACCCUGCGGCCUCCUCACUGUUAGGAGAUGACCAGCUGCCCAGUCAAGGCUUCCGUCUGCCUGGUCUUCCCUUAUGCGUGUCCUUGUUCCCAGCAGGAGCUCGGGGAGACCACUCUGGGGUGAAGAGUAACCAGCUCUUCCUCAAGGGUGCCAAACCCAGGAAGGACGCCCCAGGUCACAGGGUCCAGCAGCUCAUGUGACUUCUUGGAGUUUCCCGGGGUUUCUGUUUAUGCUGGCUUGGCCUUGUCUAAUUAUAAGAGGUGCACAACUCAUACCGGGGACACAGCAUUCUAAGUGAGUUAGGGCCCUGGAAGUUCCCCGUAUCCCAGGGACUAAUUUUAUUGCAGCUGAGUCUCUUUUCAGUGGAGCCACUGUCGCCUCUUUCAGACUCUGAGCCCAGCGCCUCGCUCCUGGCUUUGCAUCGUGAAUCCUCGUCUCCAGGGUUGGUGAGAAGGCUUGUGGCCUGGUGGUGGGCCCUGCCUCUUCGUGUGCGCAGCCUCUUCGUGUGCGCACUUGGUCCUUUCUGCACCGAGGAUUCCAGGACAAGGCAGGCCAAGCCUUUGCCCCGCGCUGCUCAGUGACACAGGAUCUAGUGUAGCUCCAAAGGGCGCUGGGACCGGAGAGAGGCAUCUGGAAUCCUGGUGGCUUUCAGAUGCUACAUGCCCGCCAGUGCUCCCAGUGACAGCUCGUGCAGAGGCUGAGCCACACGGAUCCAAGGUCUUUGAGCAGUACUUCCAGAGGCUCACCCUUACCUGGAGUCGGAACAGUGUUUAUCAACCGUUUUCAUUCACACCCCCACCCCAUAUCCUGUACUUGGAAUUGACCCUGUAAAUAUUCCGGACAGCACUGAAUGUGUGUAUAAAAGUCAUUUUUCAAACAUUGUAUAAAGUCACUUCUUAUUUCCUCAGAGUAAAUGGUAAAUUGAUUUUCACUUUACCAGUUCAGUCUUGCAUAAAUGUAAGGAGGCCAGAUACUGUUAAAUAUAAGGCUCCUUGCCUGGAAUCUGGUCGUGUCCUGGACAGUUGCUAAGACAACAGCAUUUUCUCUUUCCCGCCUCUGUUAUUUUUUUUUUCUUUACUACCUCAACUUGUUUUUGUUUUCAGUUAUCAAAUUCUCCGUUACUGUUUUUAAAAAUAGAGAUGCUUUAUUAGCUUUAAUAUAUUAACACUGUAUGUUCUUACCUUUAUGAAAAUCUCUCUAAGAAAUCCAGGCUUGCAAUAAACAGGAAGGCACUAGGAUCGGUUUACAUAAGCAAGAUGACGAAAGGCACAGGUCUGAUUUUUAAAAAAUAAAUUUCCUUUUGGGAACGGAUAUAGUGCAAGUGGUUGUGCUCCUGCUUCCUGUGUAUGAGGGCUCAGGUUUGAUUCCAGGUACCUCCUGAAAAACAAUCAAAAAAACUCAGUUUUCAUUGAGGCGCAAGAAGCUCAGUGGUUGAGUGCCUGCUUCCUGUGUACGAGGUCCUGGGUUCAGUCCCUGGUACCUCCUAAAAAAAUAAAUAAAAUAAAUUCCCUUUUGACACUCAAGCCUUGGAAUUCAGUUUGAUAUCUCUUCUUUAUGCUAACGUAACAGUUCUCAGUUUGGACAUUACUGGAGUUUGAGAGGAACGCACAGCACCUUUGGAACACCUGCUGUGCCUUAGGCCCUGGGGCUGCUGCUGCCAUACCAUAACCUAGAUUGCAUAGAACACCAGGAAGUUGACCUCUCCAGUUCCAGGGCUGGGUGCCCAAAAUCCGGGUGCCCGUGGGGCCGUGCGCCUCCGAAGUCUGUAGGGGAAUCUGUUCCCUCCUCUCUCUGAGCUUCUGGCUCUGGCCCUCAUAUGUAGCCCUUGGCUCGUGCCAUAACGCAGCACCUGCAGCCUCUGCCUCCACCAUCACGUGGCUUUCUUCUCUGUGUCUCCGCCCCUUCUUAUAAGGACACUUGCCACACCGAAUUAAAGACACCAUACUCCAGAGUGACCUCAUGUUAGUUUGCUUAAUUCCACCUGUAAUUACCCUAUUUCAGCCCAGAGGUACUGGGGAUUAAGACUUGAAUAUAUCUUGGGGGGAGGGGGGACGACGACAGUUCAACCCCUAACACUCUCUAGUAAGUAGGGCUGGAAAAUAAGACCCUACCUCUGCCUCUACCUGCUCCACAGAAAGUUAAUGAUAAUAGUUGAAAUUCAGCUUUGAAUCUGUGUGUCCCCAGAUAUUCAUAUUUCUGUAUAUGGAAAAUUACUAACGUAUCACUUUGAGAAGAAAAUAGUAUAGAAGAUGAAGUUUUUAUCACUUGCAUUGAUUUGUUUGUAAUUUCUGAUCAUUGUGAGAUAUCUGUGGAUGUAUAGUGUUAAGUGUUGUGAUACUUUACAUACAGUCUGAAAACCAAGCAUAUCCUUAUUUUGGUGUGUGUUGAAUUAUUACUUUGAUUUAUUUUUAGAAUUUUUAGAAAGGAUACUAUUUUUAGAUAUUUAAACAAACACUUGGAGAAGAAGCAUAUCUGUUCUAUUUUUCACAGCUGGUAAGAGUUACGGGGAAUUAAGACAUUUAAACUAUGAUAUUUUACCCAACAAUGAAUAUGAUAGUUAAAUAUGGAUAAAUCUAUAAUAGACUGUGGUGUUUAUUAAAAAUAGAAAGCAUUUAUCUUAAAAAUAAAAUGUUUGAAAAUUGAUUUGAUAAAAUUAAAAGAUGUUUUUGAAAAUUGGCCCCUUUGGUUGGCUGUAUACACGGACAAUCAAGAACUCAGAAGAAGAAAUUUACAGAAGAAUAGAGACCUCCACAGACAUGGAAGAGGAAUGAACUUUGAUGUUGCAGCCCCAGGAAGAGAGAUGAGCCGUUCACCUGAUAGUUUGCAACUGAAGAGACCAGAGUCCUGAGCAGCUAAGAGGGCCCAGAAAGAAACAAGCCCUCCAACCUGCAGCUGAGAUCAGGAGAAGCUGGGCCUACAGAGCCUGAGGGGAGAGAGGAGGGCUGAACCCUCGCAGACAUGCCCACCAGUGUGCUUCAACAGCAGUGUGCUUCAAGUUUACUUUGGUGAGAAAAGUAAACUUGAGUUGGACUCUUUAGGACCUUGAAACUAAGCUUUUACCCCAAAUAAAUACCUGUUAUAAAAGCCAACAGAUUUCUGGUACUUUGCACUGCUUUGGCUGACUAAUACAGCUCCCUUCAGUCUUUUUAUUUACUUAUUUACAGUACUAUAACAGAGUACUUGGUGCCAGUAUUAAUAUAUAUUUUUAGUCCACCAGGAAAACUCUUUCAACUUAGAAACUAUGAGCUCCAUUGUAAGCUCCUGAUAAUAUAAAACUUACAGAAAGCAUGUGUGUGUGUGUAUAUACCACAUAUAUAAAUACAAACUUACGUCCCAGGACAUGCACGUUCUCCAGUGACAUGCUGUUGAAGCACAUAUUAAUGGGUAUGGGUACAGACUGUAGACAGCUUUAACAGGUCUCCUUAGCAUUGAUCCUAAUGUUUGCUGCCCUGGAAAUCUUUAGCCA